CUCACAAUUCUCAAACCAUGGUCUCCUCAUCUGUCUCGUUGUUUCUGCUGCUAGCAGCUGUCUCUCGUGUCCACUGUGUUGAACUGACCCAGACUGAUUCUAUGGUCUUAAGGCCUGGUCAGGUUUUGACACUGUCCUGUAAGAUCUCUGGAUAUUCAGUGACUGAUAGCAGCUACUGCACUGACUGGAUACGACAGGCUGCAGGAAAAGCUCUGGAAUGGAUCGGAGA